GAUGAACGCUGGCGGCGUGCCUAAUACAUGCAAGUCGAGCGAAUGGAUUAAGAGCUUGCUCUUAUGAAGUUAGCGGCGGACGGGUGAGUAACACGUGGGUAACCUGCCCAUAAGACUGGGAUAACUCCGGGAAACCGGGGCUAAUACCGGAUAACAUUUUGAACCGCAUGGUUCGAAAUUGAAAGGCGGCUUCGGCUGUCACUUAUGGAUGGACCCGCGUCGCAUUAGCUAGUUGGUGAGGUAACGGCUCACCAAGGCAACGAUGCGUAGCCGACCUGAGAGGGUGAUCGGGCAAACGGGGGCUGAGAUCAGGCCCAGACUCCGACGGGAGGCAGCAGUAGGGAAUCUUCCGCAAUGGAGGAAAGUCUGACGGAGCAACGCCGCGUGAGUGAUGAAGGCUUUCGGGUCGUAAAACUCUGUUGUUAGGGAAGAACAAGUGCUAGUUGAAUAAGCUGGCCCCUUGACGGUACCUAACCAGAAAGCCACGGCUAACUACGUGCCAGCCGCCGCAGUAA
rnacentral:rRNA from 1 species